UUGAAUAGGAAAAAGAUGGGUUGGGCUAUACCGAGGUAUAGCUCAUUAAAAGGGAAGUCCGGUGCAAUUCCGGUGCGGUCCCGCCACUGUAAAUGGGAGUUUUCUAUUGCAUACCACUGUCACUUGAUGGGAAGGUCAUAGAAAAUGAAGAUCAUGAGCCAGGAGACCUGCCUGUUUUUUUACACCAUU
rnacentral:ncRNA from 1 species